UACGGGGGGAGCAAGCGUUGUUCGGAUUUACUGGGCGUAAAGGGCGCGUAGGCGGCGUAACACGUCACUUGUGAAAUCUCCGGGCUUAACCCGGAAACUGCCAUUGAUACUAUUUGUCUUGAAUACUGUGGAGGUCAGCGGAAUAUGUCAUGUAGCGGUGAAAUGCUUAGAUAUGACAUAGAACACCAAUUGCGAAGGCAGCUGGCUACACAAAUAUUGACACUGAGGCACGAAAGCGUGGGGAUCAAACAGG
rnacentral:rRNA from 1 species